rnacentral:rRNA from 1 species
GAUGAACGCUGGCGGCGUGCUUAACACAUGCAAGUCGAACGAAGCACUUAAUGAGAUUUCUUCGGAUUGAUUAUUUUGUGACUGAGUGGCGGACGGGUGAGUAACGCGUGGGUAACCUGCCCCCAGACCGGGGGAUAACAGUCGGAAACGACUGCUAAUACCGCAUAAGCGCACAGUGCCGCAUGGCACAGUGUGAAAAACUCCGGUGGUCUGGGAUGGACCCGCGUCCGAUUAGUUAGUUGGCGGGGUAACGGCCCACCAAGACCGCGAUCGGUAGCCGACCUGAGAGGGUGACCGGCCACAUUGGGACUGAGACACGGCCCAGACUCCUACGGGAGGCAGCAGUGGGGAAUAUUGCACAAUGGGGGAAACCCUGAUGCAGCGACGCCGCGUGGAGGAAGAAGGUCUUCGGAUUGUAAACUCCUGUCCCAGGGGACGACUAAUGACGGUACCCUGGGAGGAAGCACCGGCUAACUACGUG